GUGGGUGGAUGAGGGGAAGCGGAGAGCAGGAAUGGCAGGAGAGCGGUGAGAGACCUCCGUCCCAGUGAGGAUGACAUGUUCUAACUCAGGAAAUGAAUAGAUGCUCUUGCGAUUGAAGAAAAAUCUACGCUGGAGGCAGACAGGCUGGCAGGGAUGUUGGUAAGCGGACCAUUCGUGUCAUCAGUGGGAGUGGUAGGUUACCCGCUCAACACCUUGGCUCCCAGGCCUUGACUAGCAGACUCCCAGAAGUUGUUUUCUGCUGUGCUGUUUCCUGUUUCCUGAGAGGACGUCCAGAAAGCAUCCCUGAUAUAGUGAGAAUACUGGGAUUUCUCUCCACCUGCCAUGUCCUUUGCCAAAUUAUUAAACGUGGAUAGUGGAGGUGACCAAGGCAGGCACAGAAAAGAAGACACACAGAGAAUGAUUUUUGUUUGGUUUGUUCUAGCAGGACCGCAGAGGUGUCCGGUCUUUGCAAUAAUCUGAACUUACUUGCAUGAUUGGUAGGUGGUAGGCCUGAAGGCCCAUGGAUAAGUGGUGCUAAACCAUUGUUAGAGCUUUCAGACUUAGCUUGCCUGCUUUUUUGUACUCCCCCAGUGGGGGGUAAAUUAGUUGAAUUUGGUUUUUAUCCUUGGAAAAUUGGCACCAACCGGCACCUCCUCUAAGCUUCAAAAAAUAAAGUUCCU
rnacentral:lncRNA from 1 species